AGUGAACGCUGGCGGUAGGCCUAACACAUGCAAGUCGAACGGCAGCACAGUAAGAGCUUGCUCUUACGGGUGGCGAGUGGCGGACGGGUGAGGAAUACAUCGGAAUCUACUUUUUCGUGGGGGAUAACGUAGGGAAACUUACGCUAAUACCGCAUACGACCUACGGGUGAAAGCAGGGGAUCUUCGGACCUUGCGCGAUUGAAUGAGCCGAUGUCGGAUUAGCUAGUUGGCGGGGUAAAGGCCCACCAAGGCGACGAUCCGUAGCUGGUCUGAGAGGAUGAAACGCCACACGGGAAAUGAGAAACGGUCCAGACUCCUAGGGGAGGCAGCAGUGGGGAAUUUUGGAAAAUGGGCGAAAGCCUGACCCAGCCAUACCGCGGGGGUGAAGAAGGCCUUCGGGUUGUAAAGCCCUUUUGUUGGGAAAAAAAAGAAGCAGGUUAAUACCCCGCUGUUCUGACGGUACCAAAAAAAUAAGCACCGGCUAACUUCGU
rnacentral:rRNA from 1 species